UGAGCAACUACAAUAUGAAUAAUCAAGUCCAACUUGUUUGCUUGUGACUUGUGACUGAGCAAAAAUAAAAGUCAUCCUCUCUUUCUCACAAUCACACACACACAUACACUUGACUCGCAAACAAAAUCAAGAACCCAAUACCUAAACUACAUCCUGAUAUAAUUACAUAGAUGGAGGGAGAAACCGCUGCGAAGGCAGCAGGGAGUUCCUCAUGAAAAUAUGUGAUAUAAUUUUUGAUUCCACAUUAGAUUGAAGUUGCAUCUGAUUGUAAACAGUUUUUUUUUGGUUAUUCAAAAAAUGAUAUAUGGAUAAUUACUCUACUUUGUGACAAAAAAAAGGAUAAUUACUCUACUAUUUUUUAAGAAAGUAUCAGAAAUGUGAAAGUAUAUAUGUGAAAUAUAACCAAGAUUUAGGGCCAUAUAUAUGUAAAAUUUUAAUUACUCUCACUUUUUUUUUUUACAUUUUAGAUGAACACGCAACAUUAUUUUGACCAAAUCAACGGGUAUCCAAUAAAAAUAGUUAUAUUAUAAUCUUGUAAAUUGUCAUUACUAUACCUAUAAGCCUAAAUCCUUAAGGUUUGCCGACACUUGUAUUCAUUUGUUUUCUUAAUCCAAUAUAAUAUAGGUGUGAAUCUUAAGUCAACAAGAAGAUUUAUAAAAAAAGCAUACCAAGAAAUCAAAAUGAAUUUAUCAAACCAAAAAAACAAAAUGAAAGCUAAAACAUGAUGGGUAAUAGAAAUUAGAUGCAUCUCAAUUUCCAUCUUCUUUUUCCUCACAGAAAGAAAUAUGAUGAUGGGACGUAAAAAAAGGUGAGCAACUACAAUAUGAAUAAUCAAGUCCAACUUGUUUGCUUGUGACUUGUGACUCAGCAAAAAUAAAAGUCAUCCUCUCUUUCUCACAAUCACACACACACACAUACACUUGACUCGCAAAUAAAAUCAAGAACCCAAUACCUAAACUACAUCCUGAUAUAAUUACAUAGAUGGAGGGAGAAACCGCUGCGAAGGCAGCAGGGAGUUCCUCCUCAUCACCAAGCCGAUAUGAGUCACAGAAAAGACGAGACUGGAACACUGUCCUUCAGUAUUUAAAGAACCACAAGCC
rnacentral:lncRNA from 1 species